rnacentral:rRNA from 1 species
GACGAACCGUGCGAACGUUGUUCGGAAUCACUGGGCUUAAAGGGCGCGUAGGCGGGCCGGCUAGUCCGGGGUGAAAGCCCCCAGCUCAACUGGGGAAGCGCCUUGGAUACUUCCGGCCUCGAGGGAGGUAGGGGCGUGCGGAACUUCCGGUGGAGCGGUGAAAUGCGUGAGAGAUCUGGAAGAACACCAAAGGCGAAGGCAGCAUCUGGGAAGUAACUGACGC